AGGUUAUUCGCGGCACGGCUCGAGAAGGAAGGUAAAUUCCGAGAGCAAGUGAAGCCCUGCACAAACCCAUUAAGCCUGGGCAAUCCCAUAACAGCGGAGAGGGGGUGAUAGCAGCUGAGGUGGAGGCCGCUCCAGGCCCGGCGGCUUCUCAUUUCUCGCGGCGGGGGACACCCAUCCCCCACCUGCCACACGGCAGGCCCCCCGUCCCUUCCCCCGCUGGGGCGACGGGCUCCGGUCCAGCCGGCUCCUCUCGGAUUGAAAUUCUCCGGACUUCAAAAGCUCCCAGCUUGGCUUCGACGGAGAUAAGAUGCGCGGGUCGUUUUAAAUGGAAUCGGAAGCCGGGCCUAGGCCCCCAGACGCGCGGGUCAGCUGGAACAGCUUCGCUCCUGAAGAAAACCGGGCUCGGAAAAGCGGCGCGUGUGGCGCCUGCCUCCGCAGUCUGCCCGCCCGGCUCGGGGGAGAAGGCCCGCGGCCCCGAUCACCCUCCCCAGCCUGCAGCGGGCCUUUCAACGGCGACAGGGCCCCGAGAAGGGAGAGAGCGAGGAGUCCUGAGCCGGGGGCCAGGAGCUGGCUUGUCGGCUCAGGUGUCGGUGAAAAUGUGAUCAGGAAAAAAAUGUUUUCACUUCUCUGGUUAAAAAGUAAGAACAAAGGGAGCUUCCUUCUAAACA
rnacentral:lncRNA from 1 species